AACAAUAUAAAGUAAUAAGUUUAUUUAGAAUAAUUCUAUAACUUAAUACAUAGUAAAUAAAAUAUUCUAAUUAUUUUACUAUCAUCACUAUUUACUUAAUUAUUCAAUUACUUAUUUAUUUUCAUUGUUAUUGUUUAUUCCCAUUAUUAUUAUUUAUUCUAUCAUUGUUGUUUAUUGUUAAUAUUAUUUAUUUAAUUGCAUUUGAGUAUGAAUUUCUAAUUGUGCAUUGCAUUUCGAUGUUUAACUUUGAAAUAUUUCUGCACUUAAUUGAAAUGCUUGAUUAGUUGUGAUGUGACAAUGCCUUGCUUUGUUUGUGUGGAAUUGGGAUGAAGUGGGUCACCAUGGGUUUGUGAGACUGUUUCUGUUAUACGGAUCUUGAUUCUGAUUCUGUUAUAUUCUGAUUCUGUUAUAUGGAUCCUGAUUCUGUUUCUGUUAGCCGGGUAAAUGGGAGAUCGGCGCCCCCGUGUGCACCUACCGUUACCGUNN
rnacentral:lncRNA from 1 species